GAUGAACGCUGGCUGUGUGGAUAAGGCAUGCAAGUCGAAUGGGUUUAGACCCAUGGCGGACGAGGUAGUAACACGUAGGAUUACAUGCCCUUGAGUCAGGGAUAAUCUGGAGAAAUCCAGGAUAAUACCUGAUAGUCCCUUCGGGGUAAAGAUUUAUCGCUCAAGGAUUGGCCUGCGGGGUAUCAGCUUGUUGGUAGUGUAAUAGACUACCAAGGCUACGACGCCUAGGGGAGGUGAGAGCCUGACCCCCACCGAUGGAACUGAGACACGGUCCAUACUCCUACGGGAGGCCGCAGUCGAGAAUCUUCCGCAAUGGACGAAAGUCUGACGGAGCGACACAGCGUGGUGGAUGACGCUCUUCGGAGUGUAAACACCUUUUAUGAGUGAAGAAAUUAUUGACAUUAGCUCAUGAAUAAGGGGCUGCUAAUCACG
rnacentral:rRNA from 1 species